rnacentral:rRNA from 1 species
UAGCUAGUUGGUGAGGUAAAGGCUUACCAAGGCGACGAUCUGUAGCGGGUCUGAGAGGAUGAUCCGCCACACUGGAACUGAGACACGGUCCAGACUCCUACGGGAGGCAGCAGUGGGGAAUUUUGGACAAUGGGGGCAACCCUGAUCCAGCCAUGCCGCGUGAGUGAAGAAGGCCUUCGGGUUGUAAAGCUCUUUCGGCCGGGAAGAAAUCGCAUGGGCCAAUACCCUGUGUGGAUGACGGUACCGGAAUAAGAAGCACCGGCUAACUACGUGCCAGCAGCCGCGGUAAUACGUAGGGUGCGAGCGUUAAUCGGAAUUACUGGGCGUAAAGCGUGCGCAGGCGGUUUUGUAAGACAGGCGUGAAAUCCCCGGGCUUAACCUGGGAACUGCGUUUGUGACUGCAAGGCUAGAGUACGGCAGAGGGGGGUAAUUCCACGUGUAGCAGUGAAAUGCGUAGAGAUGUGGAGGAACACCAAUGGCGAAGGCAGCCCCCUGGGUCGAUACUGACGCUCAUGCACGAAAGCGUGGGUAGCAAACAGGAUUAGAUACCCUGGUAGUCCACGCCCUAAACUAUGUCAACUAGGUGUUGGGUGGGUAAAACCAUUUAGUACCGUAGCUAACGCGUGAAGUUGACCGCCUGGGGAGUACGGCCGCAAGGUUAAAACUCAAAGGAAUUGACGGGGACCCGCACAAGCGGUGGAUGAUGUGGAUUAAUUCGAUGCAACGCGAAAAACCUUACCUACCCUUGACAUGCCAGGAACUUGCCAGAGAUGGCUUGGUGCCCGAAAGGGAGCCUGGACACAGGUGCUGCAUGGCUGUCGUCAGCUCGUGUCGUGAGAUGUUGGGUUAAGUCCCGCAACGAGCGCAACCCUUGUCGUUAAUUGCCAUCAUUUAGUUGGGCACUUUAACGAGACUGCCGGUGACAAACCGGAGGAAGGUGGGGAUGACGUCAAGUCCUCAUGGCCCUUAUGGGUAGGGCUUCACACGUCAUACAAUGGUCGGUACAAAGGGUUGCCAAGCCGCGAGGCGGAGCCAAUCCCAGAAAGCCGAUCGUAGUCCGGAUUGCAGGCUGCAACUCGCCUGCAUGAAGUCGGAAUCGCUAGUAAUCGUGGAUCAGCAUGUCACGGUGAAUACGUUCCCGGGUCUUGUACACACCGCCCGUCACACCAUGGGAGCGGGUUCCGCCAGAAGUAGGUAGCCUAACCGCAAGGGGGGCGCUUACCACGGCGGGGUUCGUGACUGGGGUGAAGUCGUAACAAGGUAGCCGUAGGGGAACCUGCGGCUG